AGUGGUGAAAAUGUUAGGCAUUAACUUAUUUCACUCAAUUCUGAGCAGAAAUGUCCUGUCUAGUAACAGCUGAAACUUAAGACCCGAACUAAAUACAAGUCAUAUUCUUCACGAACCAUUUUAAAGUAACGAGUUAUUGAUAAACAUUAACUACUGUAGCAUGAACAUAUUUUACGUCCAAGUCUACACCACCUUCACCGGUGAUGGUCAAAACAUAAUACGUUAGUAACCUGGAAAGAAGAUAAACCUUAGACGAUAAGGGAGGGAUUCAACCCCCACCCAUAAGUCGACAAGAAGGAUGCUAGAACAAAACGAGUUACAGGAUUCUAAACAAAACCGGAUUUAAAGUUUUAUUACCUAACCGAUUAUUAGAAGACAGGUAGGUCAUCAUUUCUUUAGGAAUGAACACACGAAACAUCACCUGAGGCUGAAUGUUGGCGAUCUUGUUCCAGGAGAAAUCAAAUU